rnacentral:rRNA from 1 species
CACGUAGGGUGCGAGCGUUGUCCGGAAUUAUUGGGCGUAAAGAGCUCGUAGGCGGUUUGUCGCGUCGGCCGUGAAAACCUGCAGCUUAACUGUGGGCGUGCGGUCGAUACGGGCAUCACUGGAGUUCGGCAGGGGAGACUGGAAUUCCUGGUGUAGCGGUGAAAUGCGCAGAUAUCAGGAGGAACACCGGUGGCGAAGGCGGGUCUCUGGGCCGUAACUGACGCUGAGGAGCGAAAGCGUGGGGAGCGAACAGG